AAAAGGGGACAAGAACCAUCAUGACUUGGCAUUGGAACUACCAAAUUGCAUGCCACAAGGUACCUUCCAUUGGUGGCAGCCACCCCCACCCUAUCCUACCCCAAAUUUUCGUGCAUAGCCUCCCCAAAAGCAAGAGUGGCUGCAAACUUCUCCCAUUCCAUUCAUUUUCACUCCAAGAAAGUGCUAAGGCAAGAAAGUGCUCUCACUCUCUUCUCCCCUCUCCAUUUUCGUCCCUCCACAUCUCCCCCACUCCCAAGACUCUUCUCCCACCAUUAUCACACUCCAUAGAAGCCCUUGAAGCCCCAAGAGGAGUAUCAAAGCAAGGGAGAGCAUGAGAAAACUAGGGCGUAAAGUUAGAGUGAAGGUUGUGCUUCGAGGGAAUUGGUUCACAGGACGGUACCACCGCUUAAGAUCACCUCUCUUCCACACUGAGGAUCAGGUUGAGCAGUGGCUGAUGGAGAUGAAGUGAAGAGCGGAGCUUUUGUCAUAGGUUAAAUGAAUGAACUCUUGGAUACAUGUCUCCAUACAUGUAAACAGAUUAUGUUAUUCCGCUGCGUACUCUUAGGUUUUAUGUUCUUUCAGUUAAGCCAGUUUUAUCUGAACCUACAAGUCUGUUCAAGUCUUGUGACUAAACAUCAGGUGUAUUAUAAAUUUUCCCUUCUUUAAACAAAUUUUAGUUCGAUCCUCUAU